AUGACUCCUGAUUCCAUUUUGAAAGAUGAUAUUAAUAGAGCUAAUAAAGCAAAACAGGAGAAGAAUAAGAGUGAAAAUCAGAUUGUGGCAAAAGAAUUUGAGCAACAAAUGAAGCCUAAUAAUAAACCAUCUAGUGUUGCUUCUGAAAUUAAAUUGAAAAGUGCAUGUUUAUUUGCCACCAAAUCUGAUAUUGAUGAGCUAGAUUUCAGCAAAUCUGUUUGCUAUGCUUUUGUGUGCAAAGAGGCAUUAUUUUCAUUCGAGGACGUGCCUUCCUCUUUGCCUCCUGCUGUCACUAACAUUUUUGCAGGAGUUCGCUGA
rnacentral:rRNA from 1 species